rnacentral:rRNA from 1 species
GACGAACGCUGGCGGCGUGCCUAAUACAUGCAAGUAGAACGCUGAAGAGAGGAGCUUGCUCUUCUUGGCUGAGUUGCGAACGGGUGAGUAACGCGUAGGUAACCUGCCUUGUAGCGGGGGAUAACUAUUGGAAACGAUAGCUAAUACCGCAUAACAAUGGAUGACACAUGUCAUUUAUUUGAAAGGGGCAAUUGCUCCACUACAAGAUGGACCUGCGUUGUAUUAGCUAGUAGGUGAGGUAACGGCUCACCUAGGCGACGAUACAUAGCCGACCUGAGAGGGUGAUCGGCCACACUGGGACUGAGACACGGCCCAGACUCCUACGGGAGGCAGCAGUAGGGAAUCUUCGCCAAUGGGGGCAACCCUGACCGAGCAACGCCGCGUGAGUGAAGAAGGCUUUCGGAUCGUAAAGCUCUGUUGUAAGUCAAGAACGAGUGUGAGAGUGGAAAGUUCACACUGUGACGGUAGCUUACCAGAAAGGGACGGCUAACUACGUG